UCGCCAGGAGGGUGGGGGCGGGCAGGCCCGCGAAGGCCUUUCCCUGACCGACCACCUCAAUCGGCGGCUCCUCCUCUCCUUCCAGGAGCAGCUCAACCGUCAGGGCCCGCCGGGGAUGGGGCGACCCCCACCUUGGCAGCGCGCCGCGGGGGCGGCCGGGGCUCUGGAGGAGGAGGAGGAGGAGGAGGAUAAGGAGGAGGAGGAGGACUCCAACCGGGUAGAGGAGGAGUGGUGAUCGCCCAGGCCGGAGUUGUGGCCACUGUGCCCCAUUCUCCUGAGGAUAUCUCUACCCCUGAUUCAGACAAAGGGCUAAUCCAGGAUGAUUGACUGACCUCUGUGAAACUUCCAGAAAACUAGUGGUGCUGUGGUGGGAGGGAAGGCCAGCAGAGCUAAGGCUUUUCCCCAGCUGCAAAGCUCUGCCUGGGGGUGGUAGGUGUCACCCCCUCCUUCCCUGCUCUCAAAGAGUCACCAGUGAACCAAAGAACCUUAUGGUGCUGUGGAACUGAGCCAUGGACCCGGCGCCACCCACUGCUCUGCCAUCUGGGAUUGCCAAACAGACUCGUGCUUCUCAGCUUCUGAAGAAAAUAUGUACAACAGACUGCAUCUCUGUCUCCCAGUGGCUCCCACGCUCUUACCAGCCCUACUGUAGAUGGAGCUGAAAAUGGAACUGAGCUCAGAUGAGGAAGUGGAAAAAGCCAAAAUCAAAUCCAUGACAACUGCCCAGAGGACUGAAAGCUUUAGGCUUCUGCAAACCGGAGAGGCUGCCCAUUUGACAUGUCAUUUUGGUGUUUUCAAUUAAAACAUGUCUGAAACA